rnacentral:rRNA from 1 species
ACGUCAAAUCAUCACGGCCCUUACAUCUUGGGCUACACACGUGCUACAAUGAAAAUUACAAAAAAUUAAAAUCAUUAAAAACUUAACUUUAAAGAUUUUCGUAGUUCGAAUUAUAAACUGCAAUUCGUUUAUAUGAAGGUGGAAUCACUAGUAAUCGUAAAUCAGAAUGUUACGGUGAAUAUGUAUCUUGGUUUUGUACACACCGCCCGUCGCGUGCAGAGAACUAAUUUUACUUUAAGAUUAAAUUAAUU